rnacentral:tRNA from 1 species
GGGUUUAUGGAAUUGGGCAGUUGACUCUUAAUCAGCGGGUCACAGGUUCGAGCCCUGUGCGGCCCA